AUGAACGCUGGCGGCGUGCCUAAUCCAUGCCAGUCGAGCGAACGGACGAGAAGCUUGCUUCUCUGAUGUUAGCGGCGGACGGGUGAGUAACACGUGGAUAACCUACCUAUAAGACUGGGAUAACUUCGGGAAACCGGAGCUAAUACCGGAUAAUAUUUUGAACCGCAUGGUUCAAAAGUGAAAGACGGUCUUGCUGUCACUUAUAGAUGGAUCCGCGCUGCAUUAGCUAGUUGGUAAGGUAACGGCUUACCAAGGCAACGAUGCAUAGCCGACCUGAGAGGGUGAUCGGCAACACUGGAACUGAGACACGGUCCAGACUCCUACGGGAGGCAGCAGUAGGGAAUCUUCCGCAAUGGGCGAAAGCCUGACGGAGCAACGCCGCGUGAGUGAUGAAGGUCUUCGGAUCGUAAAACUCUGUUAUUAGGGAAGAACAUAUGUGUAAGUAACUGUGCACAUCUUGACGGUACCUAAUCAGAAAGCCACGGCUAACUACGU
rnacentral:rRNA from 1 species